CACCGAUGAUGAAUAACAAGAGAGUUCUGCAAUACCGACAAUUUCCAGGGUAAUACCUGUGGAAUUGAAUGUUGACAUCUCACUUACACUUGAUCUGAGG
rnacentral:snoRNA from 1 species